GCCUGAGGGGCUCAGUCAGUUAAGCGCCUGAUUUCGGCUCAGGUCACGACCUCACGGUUCGUGGGUUCGAGCCCCGCAUCGGGCU
rfam:Felis catus isolate Cinnamon breed Abyssinian chromosome C1, whole genome shotgun sequence.